GUGUGAACUGAACGCUUGGGGGACAUACCUUUCCCCACCCACCCUAGCAGAAAAGGCAGCCAAAAAUCCCAGUUUACUCAGCUUGACUACACUGCACAUCCCGUGGGAGGGAUGCUCUUGUAUCUGCUAAAGCACUGCGGAGGCGCCCUGCAGUGACCCACGAACGCAGUGGCUUUUUAAAACCCAAGGGCGUGAGGGUGGAGGGUGAUGCGAGGACUUCAGGUGAGGCUUCCUCACACUCGGGGUUUGAAGGGCAGAAAUCCGGCUCUGCCUGCCUAUGGUGGGGUGGGGGUGGGUAGGAGACUAGAAAGGAUCAGAGAUGGGGGCCGCAGAAACAGCAGCGAGCCAGCUGUGCUCAGCAGCACUUCUCCGGAUUUAAAAGAAAAAAAGAUGUUUCAUUUCUUAGCCUGGUAGCUUUUUUGGGAUUUGGUCAUUGUUAAAUUUUAAACGGAAAAACUGAAGCUGCCAGGGAAUCCUUGUAGAGGGAUGGACAGGCACGUGAGUGGAGCCCUUGGCCUCAACCAGGAAGUGCUGAAAAACGGCCAACGCACAUCCUAAUUCCCUGGACAAUGUAGGAGAUGGGUAAUUGUGUCCCUGUAACACAGGACACUCUCCUCGGAUGCAUCCCCCAAACUGGGAAAAAUUAGUUUCCUCAAACCUUAAACUGCUUGGCUUAAAAUUGAUCUUGGAGGAGGGGAACCCAGAAGACCGACAUGCUGGCAAAAAGUAAAACUUCUUACCAGUCAGACUUUUGGCCUGUCUCUCCCUGUGCAAACUGGUAACAUAAAUGGAGAGGCCCUAAGGUAACUUCUGAGGACAUGGGACUUGGCGAUAAAAACAGAGAAGGUGCUGUGGACCCCAUUUUCGGAAGAAAUCUGUUUUCCUCACAGAAUCCCAGGAAUUGAAAGCUGAUGGAUACCUCUCAAAAUCUGUUUUUGUCUUCUGGCUAUGCCUGUUUAUUAGGCUGUAGAAACUGUAUGCUCUCCUAGCGGUGCUUUUGAAAGCCUCCACCCUGAGGCCAAUAAUCCAAUUAGGAGAUUGGCAAAUGAAAAAUCUUACAAUUACUGUAUCUUCUUCUAUCUGUCUGUAUAGUUAUAUAUGUGUUAUGUGUGUGAUAUUUAUAAAAAAGAGCUCUAAUUGAUUAGCCUAAAGAAAAACAAGUGCUUAGACCAAAUAUUUUGAAGGAAAAAUAAAAGCUGUAAUGCCUUUUAGUUCACGUGACUUUAAUCUUUGAGAAAUAAAAACAAUUUUAAAGAUAAUUGGUAAAAUACAAAUGUCUUCAGAAUGUAAACAAGUGGUCUAAAUUAUGUGGGUUAGAUACUAGGUUUGCGAAAUGUUUUAAGGUUAUAAACUACUUCUUUGUUAUUUGAGAACUUUUUGACCUGCCUGCUUUACAAUUUGGUAAGGCUGAGGACAUAUGGAAUUAACCACACCCUUAACUAUACUGGAAAGAGUCAGAUCUUAUCUGUGCCUACUACACAAUUUAAAUAACCAAGUUUUACACUAAAAUUAAAAAUUGCUAAGAGUUGCUGUUAUAACAUGUAAUUGAGACUACUGAAAAUAGACUUACAUGCAAUGUGUGUAAAGAAAGUAAAAUAUGUUUUUAGUAAAAGAUAAGAAGACAAGGGAAUGUAAAUUUUUGCCUAGGGUUAAAGGAUUGUUUUGAAUUAGACAAGAUAAAACUGAAGGUUUAAACAAGUGGAGAAAGGUUUAUAAAAAUAAUCUUAUAAAAGAAGCUCUAUGUGUAACAUAUUGACUAACUUCAAAAGGGUAUUAUUUGGUUUUUCUGUAAAUUAAGCAUUGAAAUAAAAGCACAACAAGGUUUUCUUGAGGCACUGACCUGCUCUUUCACAAAAAUUUGUAGAGUUAUAAAAGGAUUACAAGAAUUUCAUCUCAUGGUCAAACUGGUUAAGAUUGAAUAGAAUUAUCUAUAAGGUUUCAUUUAAAAAUGGAGUUGAUAUUAAUAGUAGACUAAUGCAAGAGUCAAAUUUGGCUUUCUCUCUUGAACAAGAUUUUCAUGUAAUAGUAAAAGAUAAUGAAAAGUUUUUGCCUUUUUAAAAAUUUCUGAGUCAUGAUUUUGGCUAAAUAAAUAACUUAUGGUAAUCUGCUAUUCUAUUUCAUAAUAUCAGGUGUUUUGAACCUUCAACACAUUUAACAGACUUCCUAAAGUCAAACUUCAGCUUCAAAAAUUGUCUUUCCUAACCUCUAGCUUUUGGAUGCUACAGAGGGCUCUUGGAGUAUUCAAAAGAAAGGUAAACAGGAUUAUUUCACAUGUUUAGUUACAUGGGAUUGCCAAAAUAAUGUUUAAUCUUCUUCAGGUUAUAUUUCAGUGAAUAAUAUUAAUAUAUGUUCCAAAGUUAUAUGGGAUUUAAAAAAUUCUAAUGUCUGAAUAUAUGCUAUCAAUCAUAAUUAAGUUUAUUAUGUCAAGUUAUUGUAAACCACGGAAAUAACUACAUUUCUUUGUCAAUUGUGUUUUUGACUGUAACUACCCUGGAUAUUUUGUCAUUCACAGAUAAGUGUUGUCUUGCUUUAAUCCUUUUCAAAAGAUGGUUUUUAAUCAGCUAUAGGACUUUGACAGGUGCUGUUAAAUGUAGGUUUCUGAUAUCUCUGAAGAUUGUAAUAUUGGAACAAAGGAAAAAUGUACAGGACACCUGAAGAGUUGAAAUGUUCAUGGAUAUCAAACAGAAUAAAAGUUAACAGAAUGGACUGAACUAACAGAAAACUGAAGUAAUCUUUUUAACCUUUGUGCUUAAAUCCUUGCUGAUACUUGUUUUGUUUCUCAGAAUCAAGGAAACUUAUUUUGAGCUAUUUACAGUGUUUAAUAAUUGAGUAAAAUAUAUACCUGUGAACAAAAUUUCAAACAUAUUUGUUGCUCUCCGCGUGGCUUCUCCAGAAUUUGAAAACUAUUUGUGAGUAUUCUUAGCUUAUGGCAAUAUACUUAUUUGCAUUAGUGCAAUAAGAAUCCAUUUUCUUUUGCAACAGGACACAAUUGGAGAAACUGGUUGUUUUACCAAGGCUUUGGCUGGAAGGAUAUGCUUCCCUUUAAGGAAUCAAGUUUGACUUGCAGAGGCAAUAAAAGCCCCUUCGGAAA